rnacentral:rRNA from 1 species
AUGAACGCUAGCUACAGGCUUAACACAUGCAAGUCGAGGGGCAGCAUGAACUUAGCUUGCUAAGUUUGAUGGCGACCGGCGCACGGGUGAGUAACACGUAUCCAACCUGCCGAUGACUCGGGGAUAGCCUUUCGAAAGAAAGAUUAAUACCCGAUGGCAUAGUUCUUCCGCAUGGUGGAACUAUUAAAGAAUUUCGGUCAUCGAUGGGGAUGCGUUCCAUUAGGUUGUUGGCGGGGUAACGGCCCACCAAGCCUUCGAUGGAUAGGGGUUCUGAGAGGAAGGUCCCCCACAUUGGAACUGAGACACGGUCCAAACUCCUACGGGAGGCAGCAGUGAGGAAUAUUGGUCAAUGGACGAGAGUCUGAACCAGCCAAGUAGCGUGAAGGAUGACUGCCCUAUGGGUUGUAAACUUCUUUUAUACGGGAAUAAAGUGAGGCACGUGUGCCUUUUUGUAUGUACCGUAUGAAUAAGGAUCGGCUAACUCCGUGCCAGCAGCCGCGGUAAUACGGAGGAUCCGAGCGUUAUCCGGAUUUAUUGGGUUUAAAGGGAGCGUAGGCGGACGCUUAAGUCAGUUGUGAAAGUUUGCGGCUCAACCGUAAAAUUGCAGUUGAUACUGGGUGUCUUGAGUACAGUAGAGGCAGGCGGAAUUCGUGGUGUAGCGGUGAAAUGCUUAGAUAUCACGAAGAACUCCGAUUGCGAAGGCAGCCUGCUGGACUGUAACUGACGCUGAUGCUCGAAAGUGUGGGUAUCAAACAGGAUUAGAUACCCUGGUAGUCCACACAGUAAACGAUGAAUACUCGCUGUUUGCGAUAUACAGUAAGCGGCCAAGCGAAAGCGUUAAGUAUUCCACCUGGGGAGUACGUUCGCAAGAAUGAAACUCAAAGGAAUUGACGGGGACCCGCACAAGCGGUGGAGCAUGUGGUUUAAUUCGAAGCAACGCGAAAAACCUUACCAAGUCUUGACAUCCUGAUGACGGUUCCUUAACCGGAACUUUUCUUCGGAACAUCAGAGACAGGUGGUGCAUGGUUGUCGUCAGCUCGUGCCGUGAGGUGUCGGCUUAAGUGCCAUAACGAGCGCAACCCUUAUCGAUAGUUACCAUCAGGUGAUGCUGGGGACUCUGUCGAGACUGCCGUCGUAAGAUGUGAGGAAGGUGGGGAUGACGUCAAAUCAGCACGGCCCUUACGUCCGGGGCUACACACGUGUUACAAUGGGGGGUACAGAAGGCAGCUACACGGCGACGUGAUGCUAAUCCCGAAAGCCUCUCUCAGUUCGGAUUGGAGUCUGCAACCCGACUCCAUGAAGCUGGAUUCGCUAGUAAUCGCGCAUCAGCCACGGCGCGGUGAAUACGUUCCCGGGCCUUGUACACACCGCCCGUCAAGCCAUGAAAGCCGGGGGUACCUGAAGUGCGUAACCGCAAGGAGCGCCCUAGGGUAAAACUGGUGAUUGGGGCU